CCAGACUCCUACGGGAGGCAGCAGUGGGGAAUAUUGGGCAAUGGGCGCAAGCCUGACCCAGCAACGCCGCGUGAAGGAAGAAGGCUUUCGGGUUGUAAACUUCUUUUCUCAGGGACGAAGCAAGUGACGGUACCUGAGGAGUAAGCCACGGCUAACUACGUGCCAGCAGCCGCGGUAAUACGUAGGGGGCGAGCGUUAUCCGGAUUCACUGGGUGUAAAGGGAGCGUAGACGGCCAAGCAAGCCAGGGGUGAAAGCCCGGGGCCCAACCCCGGGACUGCCCUUGGAACUGCAUGGCUGGAGUGCGGGAGGGGCAGGCGGAAUUCCUGGUGUAGCGGUGAAAUGCGUAGAUAUCAGGAGGAACACCGGCGGCGAAGGCGGCCUGCUGGACCGCGACUGACGUUGAGGCUCGAAAGCGUGGGGAGCAAACAGGAUUAGAUACCCGUGUA
rnacentral:rRNA from 1 species